rnacentral:rRNA from 1 species
UACGGAGGGGGCUAGCGUUGUUCGGAAUUACUGGGCGUAAAGCGCACGUAGGCGGCGAUCUAAGUCAGAGGUGAAAGCCCGGGGCUCAACCCCGGAACUGCCUUUGAGACUGGAUUGCUUGAAUCUGGGAGAGGUGAGUGGAAUUCCGAGUGUAGAGGUGAAAUUCGUAGAUAUUCGGAAGAACACCAGUGGCGAAGGCGGCUCACUGGACCAGUAUUGACGCUGAGGUGCGAAAGCUAGGGGAGCAAACAGG